rnacentral:rRNA from 1 species
GACGAACGCUGGCGGCGCGCUUAACACAUGCAAGUCGAACGGAAAGGCCUGCUUUCCCUUGUGGAUUGCGGGUACUCGAGUGGCGAACGGGUGUGUAACACGUGAGUGAUCUGCCCCCAACUUGGGUAUAAGCCUGGGAAACUGGGUCUAAUUCCCGAUAGGACUGCAGGGUGGUGCCUGUGGUGGAAAACGAUUUUCUAGUGGUUGGGGAUGAGCUCGCGGCCUAUCAGCUUGUUGGUGGGGUAAUGGCCUACCAAGGCGGCGACGGGUAGCCGGGCUGAGGGGGUGGACGGGCACAGUGGGACUGAGAUACGGCCCAGGCUCCGACGGGAGGCAGCAGUGGGGAAUAAGGGACGGUGGGCGGAAGCCUGAUGCAGCGACGCCGCGUGGGGGAUGACGGGCUUCGGGUUGUAAACUCCUUUCGACCGCGAGGAAGCCACCUGGUUGGAAGGGUGGUGACGGUAGUGGUAGAAGAAGCACCGGCUAACUACGUG